GACGUUUGGUAGAGACUGUUGAAGCCGCCUGGUCCCAGCUGACCCCGGAAGGCAGCCACAUUCGCUGGUGCUGGGGUAAGGUCGUUGAGGGUGGAAGCCUGGUGCCAGAUGUGU
rnacentral:rRNA from 1 species